GUAAAUAUAGUUUAAAAAAAACAUUAGAUUGUGGAUCUAAUAAUAGAAGAUUGUAUCUCCUUAUUUACC
rnacentral:tRNA from 2 species